AUUGAACGCUGGCGGCAGGCCUAACACAUGCAAGUCGAACGAGUGGCAGACGGGUGAGUAAUGUCUGGGACCCUGCCUGAUGGCGGGGGAUACCUCCUGGAAACGGCAGCUAAUCACGCAUACCAUCAGAUGUGCCCAGAUGGGAUUGGCUUGUGGGUGGGGUAACGGCCCACCAAGGCCACGAGCCCUAGCUGGGCUGAGAGGAUGACGAGCAAAACUGGAACUGAGACGCGGUCCAGAGUCCUACGGAGGGCAGCAGAGGGGAAGAUUGCAAAAUGGGCGCAAGCCGGACGCAGACAGGCCGGGGGUAUAAGGAAGGCUUCCGGGUGUUAAAGUACAUUCAGCGAGGAGGCGUUACCCGCAGAGAGAGCGCCGGCUAACUCCGUGCCAGCAGGCGCGGUAAUAC
rnacentral:rRNA from 1 species